rnacentral:rRNA from 1 species
AGAGUUUGAUCCUGGCUCAGGACGAACGCUGGCGGCGUGCCUAAUACAUGCAAGUCGAACGCUUCUUUUUCCACCGGAGCUUGCUCCACCGGAAAAAGAAGAGUGGCGAACGGGUGAGUAACACGUGGGUAACCUGCCCAUCAGAAGGGGAUAACACUUGGAAACAGGUGCUAAUACCGUAUAACAAUCAAAACCGCAUGGUUUUGAUUUGAAAGGCGCUUUCGGGUGUCGCUGAUGGAUGGACCCGCGGUGCAUUAGCUAGUUGGUGAGGUAACGGCUCACCAAGGCCACGAUGCAUAGCCGACCUGAGAGGGUGAUCGGCCACAUUGGGACUGAGACACGGCCCAAACUCCUACGGGAGGCAGCAGUAGGGAAUCUUCGGCAAUGGACGAAAGUCUGACCGAGCAACGCCGCGUGAGUGAAGAAGGUUUUCGGAUCGUAAAACUCUGUUGUUAGAGAAGAACAAGGAUGAGAGUAACUGUUCAUCCCUUGACGGUAUCUAACCAGAAAGCCACGGCUAACUACGUGCCAGCAGCCGCGGUAAUACGUAGGUGGCAAGCGUUGUCCGGAUUUAUUGGGCGUAAAGCGAGCGCAGGCGGUUUCUUAAGUCUGAUGUGAAAGCCCCCGGCUCAACCGGGGAGGGUCAUUGGAAACUGGGAGACUUGAGUGCAGAAGAGGAGAGUGGAAUUCCAUGUGUAGCGGUGAAAUGCGUAGAUAUAUGGAGGAACACCAGUGGCGAAGGCGGCUCUCUGGUCUGUAACUGACGCUGAGGCUCGAAAGCGUGGGGAGCAAACAGGAUUAGAUACCCUGGUAGUCCACGCCGUAAACGAUGAGUGCUAAGUGAUGGAGGGUUUCCGCCCUUCAGUGCUGCAGCUAACGCAUUAAGCACUCCGCCUGGGGAGUACGACCGCAAGGUUGAAACUCAAAGGAAUUGACGG